ensembl:lncRNA
UUCAUUUCAUUCAUUUGAUCUUCAAUCACUGAUACCCUUUCUUCCAGUUGAUCAAAUCGGUUACUGAAGCUUGCGCAUUCAUCACAUAGUUCUCAUGCCAUGGUUUUCAGCUCCAUCAGGUCAUUUAAGGACUUCUCUACUUUGGUUAUUCUAGUUAGUCAUUCAUCUAACGUUUUUUCAAGGUUUUUAGCUUCUUCGCGAUGGGUUCGAACUUCCUCCUUUUGCUCGGAGAAGUUUUAUCAUCUGAAGCCUUCUUCUCUCAAUUCGUCAAAGUCAUUCUCCAUCCAGCUUUGUUCUGUCGCUGGUGAGGAGCUGCGUUCCUUUGGAGGGGGAUAAGCACUCUGAUUUUUAGAGUUUUCAGCUUUUCUGCUCUGUUUUAUCCCCAUCUUUGUGGUUUUAUCUACCUUUGGUCUUUGAUGAUGGUGAUGUACAGAUGGGGUUUUGGUGUGGAUGUCCUUUCUGUUUGUUAGUUUUCCUUCUAACAGUCAGGACCCUCAGCUGCAGGUCUGUUGGAGUCUGCUGGAGGUCCACUCCAGACCCUGUUUGCCUGGGUAUUAGCAGCGGAGGCUGCCAAAGAAGGAAUAUUGCUGAACAGCAAAUGUUGCUGCCUGAUCGUUCCUCUGGAAGCUUCAUCUCAGAGGGGCACCCGGCCAUGUGAGGUGUCACUCUGCCCCUACUGGGCAUUGCCUCCCAGUUAGGCUAUUCAGGGGUCGGGGACCCACUUGAGGAGGCAGUCUAUCUGUUCUCAGAUCUCAAACUCCGUGCUAGGAGAACCACUACUGUCUUCAAAGCUGUCAGACAGGGACAUUUAAAUCUGCAGAACGUUCUGCUGUCUUUUGUUUGGCUAUGCCCUGUCCCCAGAGGUGAAGUCUAUAGAGGCAAGCAGGCCUCUUUGAGCUGCAGUGGGCUCCACCCAGUUCGAGCUUCCAGGCUGCUUUGUUUACCCACUCAAGCCUAGGCAAUGGCAGGCACCCCUCCCCCAGCCUCGCUGCUGCCUUCCAGUUAGAUCUCAGACUGCUGUGCUAGCAAUGAGGAAGGCCCUGUGGGCAUGGGACCCUCCAAGCCAGGCAUGGGAUAUAAUCUCCUGGUGUGCCGUUUGCUAAGACCCUUGGUAAAGCACAGCAUUAGGGUGAGAGUGACCCAAUUUUCCAGGUGCUGUGUGUCACGACUUCCCUUGGCUAGGAAAGGGAAUUCCCUUACCCCUUGUGCUUCCCAGGUGAGGCAAUGCCUUGCCCUGCUUCGGCUCUCACUCGGUGGGCUGCACUCACAGUAUUGCACCCACUGUCUGACAUGCCCCAGUGAGAUGAACCUGGUACCUCAGUUGGAAAUGCCGAAAUCACCCGUCUUCUGUGUUGCUCACGCUGGGAGCUGGAGGCUGGAGCUGUUCCUAUUUGGCCACCUUGGAACCGCCCCUGUACCACAUUUUCUUUAUCCAGUCUAUCAUUGAUGGGCAUUUGGGUUGGUCCCAAGUCUUUGCUAUUGUGAACAGUGCUGCAAUAAACGUAUGUGUGCAUGUGUCUUUAUAGUAGAAGGAAUUAUAAUCCUUUGGAUAUAUACCCAGUAAUGGAAUUGCUGGGUCAAAUGAUAUUUCUGGUUCCAGAUCCUUGAGAAAUCGCCACACUGGUUGAACUUCCACAGUGGUUGAACUAACUUACACUCCCACCAACACUGUAAAAGCAUUCCUAUUUCUCCACAGCCUCGUCAGUAUCUGUUGUUUCCUGACUUUGUAAUGAUUGCCAUUCUAACUGGCAUGAGAUGGUAUCUCAUUGUAGUUCUGAUUUGCGUUUCUUUAAUGACCAGUGACAAUGAGCUUUUAUUCAUGUUUGUUGGCCACAUAAAUGCCUUCUUUUGAGAAGUGUCUGUUCAUAUCCUUUGCCCACUUUUUGAAGGGGUUGUUUUUUUCUUGUAAAUUUGUUUUAAGUUCUUUGUAGAUUCUGGAUAUUAGCCCUUUGUCAGAUGGAUACAUUGCAAAAAUUUUCUCCCAUCCUGUAGGUUGCCUUUUCACUCUGAUGGUAGUUUCUUUUGCUGUGCAGAAGUUCUUCAGUUUAAUUAGAUCCCAUUUGUCAAUUUUGGCUUUUGUUGCCAUUGCUUUUGGUGUUUUAGUCAUAAGUCUUUCCCCAUGCUUAUGGCCUGAAUGGUAUUACAUAGGUUUUCUUGUAGGUUUUUAUGAUUUUAGGUCUUAUGUUUAAGUCUUUAAUCCAUCUUCAGUUAAUUUUUGUAUAAGGUGUAAGGAAGGGGUCCAGUUUCAGUUUUCUGCAUAUGGCCACCCAGUGUUCCCCAUGCCAUUUAUUAAAUAGGGAUUCCUUUCUCCAUUGCUUGUUUUUGUCAGGUUUGUCAAAGAUCAGAUGGCUGUAGAUGUGUGGUGUUAUUUCUGAGGCCUCUGUUCUGUUCCAUUGGUCUAUAUAUCUGUUUUGGUACAAGUACCAUGCUGUUUUGGUUUGUAGCAUUGUAGUACAGUUUGAAGUCAGGUAGCAUGAUGCCUCCAGCUUUGUUCUUUUUGCUUAGCAUUGUCUCAGCUAUAUGGGCUCUUUUUUGGUUCCAUAUGAAAUUUAAAGUAGUUUUUUCUAAUUCUGUGAAGAAAGUCCAUGGUAGCUUCAUGGGGAUAGCAUUGAAUCUAUAAAUUACUUUGGGCAGUAUGGCCAUUUUCACGAUAUUGAUUCUUCCUAUCCAUGAGCAUGGAAUGUUUUCUAUUUAUGUCCUCUCUUACUACCUUGAUCAGGGGUUUGUAGUUCUCCUUGAAGAGGUCCUUUAGAUCCCUUGUAAGUAGUAUUCCUAGGUAUUUUAUUCUCUUUGUAGCAAUUGUGAAUGGGAGUUCACUCAUGAUCUGGAUCUCUGUUUGUCUAUUAUUGGUGUACAGAAAUGCUUGUGAUUUUUGCAUGCUGAUUUUGUGUCCUGAAGUGGCUUAUCAGCUUAAGGAGAUUUGGGACUGGGAUGAUGUGGUUUUCUAAAUACACAAUCCUAUCAUCUGCAAACAGAGAAAAUGUGGCUUCCUCCCUUCCUAUCUGAAUACCCUUUAUUUCUUCUCUUGCUUGAUUGCUCUGGUCAGAACUUCCAAUACAAUGUUGAAUAGGAGUGGUAAAAGAGGGCAUCCUUGUCUUGUGCUGCUUUUCAAAGGGAAUGCUUCCUUUGCCCAUUCAGUAUGAUUUUGGCUGUGGGUCUGUCAUAAAGAAGUCUUACUAUUUUGAGAUAUGUUCCAUCAGUACCUAGUUUAUUGAGAGUUUUUAGCAGGAACGGGUGUAGAAUUUCAUCAAGGACCUUUUCUGCAUCUAUUGAGAUAAUCAUGUGGUUUUUGUCAUUGGCUCUGUUUAUGUGAAGGAUUACAUUUAUUGAUUUGCAUAUGUUGAACCAGCCUUGCAUGCCAGGGAUGAAGCCAACUUGAUCAUGAUAGAUAAGCUUUUUGAUGUGUUGCUGGAUUUGGUUUGCCAGCAUUUUGUUGAGGAUUUUAGCAUCGAUGUUCAUCAGAGAUAUUGGCCUGAAAUUUUCUUUUUUUGUUGUGUCUCUGCCAGGUUUUGGUAUCAGGAUGAUGCUGGCCUCAUAAAAUGAACUAGGGAGGAGUCCCUCGUUUUCUAUUGUUUGGAAUAGUUUAAGAAGGAAUGGUACCAGCUUCUCCUUCUACCUCUGGUAGAAUUUGGCUGUGAUUCCAUCUAGAUCUGGGCUUUUUUUGGUUAGUAGACUAUUAAUUACUGCCUCAAUUUCAGAGCUUGUUAUUGGCCUAUUCAGGAAUUUGACUUCUUCCUGCUUUAGUCUUAGGAGGGUGUAUGUGUCCAGGAAUUUAUUCAUUUCUUCUAGAUUUUCUAGUUUAUUUGCAUAGAGGUGUUUAGAGUAUUCUCCGAUGGUAGUUUGUAUUUCUGUGGGGUCGGUGCUGACAUCUCCUUUAUCAUUUUUUAUUGUGUCUAUUUGAUUCUUCUCUCUUUUCUUCUUUAUUAGUCUGGCUAGUAGUCUAUCCAUUUUGUUAAUCUUUUCAAAAAACCAGCUCCUAGAUUCAUUGAUUUUUUGAAGGGUUUUUUUUUUUUUUUUAAUCUUUAUCUCCUUCAGUUCUGCUCUGAUCUUAGUUUUUUCUUGUCUUCUGCUAGCUUUUGAAUUUGUUUGCUCUUGCUUCUCUAGUUCUUUUAAUUGUGAUGUUAGAGUGUUGAUUUUAGAUCUUUCCUGCUUUCUUCUGUGGGCAUUUAGUGCUAUAAAUUUCCCUUUAAACAAUGCUCUAGCUGUGUCCCAGAAAUUCUGGUAUGCUGUGCCUUUGUUCUCAUGGGUUUCAAAGAUCAUCUUUAUUUCUGCCUUCAUUUUGUUAUUUACCCAGUAGUCAUUCAGGAGCAGGUUGUUCAGUUUCCAUGUAGUUGUGCAGUUUUGAGUGAGUUUCUUAAUCCUGAGUUCUAAUUUGAUAGCACUGUGGUCUGAGACACUGUUUGCUAUGAUUUCUGUUCUUCUGCAUUUGCUGAGGAGUGUUUCACUUCCAAUUAUAUGGUCAAUUGCACAGUAAGUGUGAUGUGGUGCUGAGAAGAAUGUUUAUUCUGUUGAUUUGGGGUGGAGAGUUCUGUAGAUGUCUAUUAGGUC